UGGAAGAGUACUUCCAAAUAUUACCGGUACUGUGACACUUAAGUGACAAGCGUGUGCGGCUAGUUAAUUUACUUCCAUCCUCAUAACAUGUGCAGUGUGUUCGCUGAUUGGUUCCUCGACACAUACUGCACCUACGGCGAAGUUCAUGGUGGUCACAAGCACGCACGUAUGAUGUGUGUCAACUGAAGCGAGAGGAAUUAAAACCACAGUCUUCCUGCAGGCCAGCCCAGAAACGACAAGUAGCCUGCAAGUAGCCUCACUGAUAACACGCAAGAAAAAGCUAUUGACCGCAGUGUAAUGUCUUGGACCACGAAAGGAACGCAUGAGGUGCGCUUUUCCAAAGAAUUCUCCAGAUGCCUGUCUGAGCUCUAAAUAUUGGAAGCCUCAUCUAGG